CUGAACUGCAAGUAUUGUGAAGCUAAAUGGCUGAACAUGUAAACAAUGGUGUAGAUCGUUGGCGAAAGUGAAAGAAUAGAUAAAGGAUUUCAGAAUGUCGGACUCAGAUGUAGAGUCGGACUUCGACGAAGGUCCUGAGGAGGGCCCACACAGGACAAGAAGGGCCUUUGAAAAAAAUAUUGCUGCUGCAAGAAAAAAU